rnacentral:ncRNA from 1 species
AUACAAUGGCGGCGCGCACUCCAUUUCUUGGGCGUCGUACAUCAAAAAAGGAGGAAAUGCAUAACCGCAGACUCGCGGUGCAGCAGUGUGGAGACCUGUUGUAAUGCAGCGGGCUUGGCGAGAAGGUCCAGAGGAUCCCGAAGAGCGAUUCCGUGCGCACAGCGGGAUGUCAGCAGACGCUUCGCGCCGUGGCCACUGCGAGUGUAUAUUCAGCGGAUGCCGUAUACACAGAGUCGUUUCAAUGGCU